rnacentral:rRNA from 1 species
UAUGUAGGGUGCGAGCGUUGUCCGGAAUUACUGGGCGUAAAGAGCUCGUAGGUGGUUUGUCGCGUUGUUCGUGAAAACUCACAGCUUAACUGUGGGCGUGCGGGCGAUACGGGCAGACUGGAGUACUGCAGGGGAGACUGGAAUUCCUGGUGUAGCGGUGGAAUGCGCAGAUAUCAGGAGGAACACCGGUGGCGAAGGCGGGUCUCUGGGCAGUAACUGACGCUGAGGAGCGAAAGCGUGGGGAGCGAACAGG